GGCGUCGAGCGGCGGACGGGUGAGUAAUGCCUAGGAAAUUGCCCUGAUGUGGGGGAUAACCAUUGGAAACGAUGGCUAAUACCGCAUGAUGCCUACGGGCCAAAGAGGGGGACCUUCGGGCCUCUCGCGUCAGGAUAUGCCUAGGUGGGAUUAGCUAGUUGGUGAGGUAAGGGCUCACCAAGGCGACGAUCCCUAGCUGGUCUGAGAGGAUGAUCAGCCACACUGGAACUGAGACACGGUCCAGACUCCUACGGGAGGCAGCAGUGGGGAAUAUUGCACAAUGGGCGCAAGCCUGAUGCAGCCAUGCCGCGUGUGUGAAGAAGGCCUUCGGGUUGUAAAGCACUUUCAGUCGUGAGGAAGGUGGUGUAGUUAAUAGCUGCAUUAUUUGACGUUAGCGACAGAAGAAGCACCGGCUAACUCCGUGCCAGCAGCCGCGGUAAUACGGAGGGUGCGAGCGUUAAUCGGAAUUACUGGGCGUAAAGCGCAUGCAGGUGGUUUGUUAAGUCAGAUGUGAAAGCCCGGGGCUCAACCUCGGAAUAGCAUUUGAAACUGGCAGACUAGAGUACUGUAGAGGGGGGUAGAAUUUCAGGUGUAGCGGUGAAAUGCGUAGAGAUCUGAAGGAAUACCGGUGGCGAAGGCGGCCCCCUGGACAGAUACUGACACUCAGAUGCGAAAGCGUGGGGAGCAAACAGGAUUAGAUACCCUGGUAGUCCACGCCGUAAACGAUGUCUACUUGGAGGUUGUGGCCUUGAGCCGUGGCUUUCGGAGCUAACGCGUUAAGUAGACCGCCUGGGGAGUACGGUCGCAAGAUUAAAACUCAAAUGAAUUGACGGGGGCCCGCACAAGCGGUGGAGCAUGUGGUUUAAUUCGAUGCAACGCGAAGAACCUUACCUACUCUUGACAUCCAGAGAACUUUCCAGAGAUGGAUUGGUGCCUUCGGGAACUCUGAGACAGGUGCUGCAUGGCUGUCGUCAGCUCGUGUUGUGAAAUGUUGGGUUAAGUCCCGCAACGAGCGCAACCCUUAUCCUUGUUUGCCAGCGAGUAAUGUCGGGAACUCCAGGGAGACUGCCGGUGAUAAACCGGAGGAAGGUGGGGACGACGUCAAGUCAUCAUGGCCCUUACGAGUAGGGCUACACACGUGCUACAAUGGCGCAUACAGAGGGCGGCCAACUUGCGAAAGUGAGCGAAUCCCAAAAAGUGCGUCGUAGUCCGGAUUGGAGUCUGCAACUCGACUCCAUGAAGUCGGAAUCGCUAGUAAUCG
rnacentral:rRNA from 1 species